UACGAAGGGGGCUAGCGUUGCUCGGAAUCACUGGGCGUAAAGGGUGCGUAGGCGGGUCUUAAGUCAGGGGUGAAAUCCUGGAGCUCAACUCCAGAACUGCCUUUGAUACUGAAGAUCUUGAGUUCGGGAGAGGUGAGUGGAACUGCGAGUGUAGAGGUGAAAUUCGUAGAUAUUCGCAAGAACACCAGUGGCGAAGGCGGCUCACUGGCCCGGAACUGACGCUGAGGUGCGAAAGCGUGGGGAGCAAACAGG
rnacentral:rRNA from 1 species